CGGCGGACGGGUGAGUAACGCGUGGGUAACCUGCCUCAUACAGGGGGAUAACAGUUGGAAACGGCUGCUAAUACCGCAUAAGCGCACAGUACCGCAUGGUACGGUGUGAAAAACUCCGGUGGUAUGAGAUGGACCCGCGCUGAUUAGGUAGUUGGUGGGGUAACGGCCUACCAAGCCGACGAUCAGUAGCCGACCUGAGAGGGUGACCGGCCACAUUGGGACUGAGACACGGCCCAA
rnacentral:rRNA from 1 species